UACGUAGGGUGCGAGCGUUGUCCGGAAUUAUUGGGCGUAAAGGGCUCGUAGGCGGUUUGUCACGUCGGGAGUGAAAACUCAGGGCUUAACCCUGAGCCUGCUUCCGAUACGGGCAGACUAGAGGUAUGCAGGGGAGAACGGAAUUCCUGGUGUAGCGGUGAAAUGCGUAGAUAUCGGGAGGAACACCAGUGGCGAAGGCGGCUUCCUGGCCUGUUCUUGACGCUGAGGCGCGAAAGCUAGGGGAGCAAACGGG
rnacentral:rRNA from 1 species